GACGAACGCUGGCGGCGUGCUUAACACAUGCAAGUCGAACGGAAAGGCCCUGCUUUUGUGGGGUGCUCGAGUGGCGAACGGGUGAGUAACACGUGAGUAACCUGCCCUUGACUUUGGGAUAACUUCGGGAAACGGGGGCUAAUACCGGAUAGGAGCUCCUGCUGCAUGGUGGGGGUUGGAAAGGUUCGGCGGUUGGGGAUGGGCUCGCGGCGUAUCAGCUUGUUGGUGGGGUAGUGGCUUACCAAGGCUUUGACGGGUAGCCGGCCUGAGAGGGUGACCGGCCACAUUGGGACUGCGAUACGGCCCAGACUCCUACGGGAGGCAGCAGUGGGGAAUAUUGCACAAUGGGCGGAAGCCUGAUGCAGCAACGCCGCGUGCGGGAUGCCGGCCUUCGGGUUGUAAACCGCUUUCGCCUGUGACGAAGCGUGAGUGACGGUAAUGGGUAAAGAAGCACCGGCUAACUACGUG
rnacentral:rRNA from 1 species